CGCCGCGCUCCCGGAGCGGGAGAGGCUGCCGGCUGCUCCGGAAGAGGCGCUCCUUCCCCCGUCACUGCCCGGAGUGCGCGUUGCUACAUCAGCCGGCGGGCGCGGGGCAAAAGGGAUGCGCGCUCCGGAACCGCUGGAAAGAGAGGUCUGUUCGGAGCAGCGCCCCGCGGGGAAGCGCCUCUCACGGCAUCGUUGUCGUCCGAGGGGACGGCGGUAGUGCCGAGUUAUGGUGCGGAAAGUCAGCGCUUGGCGGUGCCGGCCACGCUCCGCUGCUGCGGGAGGAGGCCGCGCUGGCUCCUGCUUGGUUGGACGGAGCUGCUGUGAGGACGAUAACUUUCCGACAAUUUCAAGGAGGCCAUUUUCCAGAAGAGCCCGUGUCCUUCCUCUCGACUUUCCUCACGUCUCUUGACAGAUUAUUUUCAUCUCACUAAAGCAGAAGCUCUUCUAACACUGAUGUUUAAAAGCAUCCCUGCUGGUUAUUUUUGCCUAGCAGUUUCUGUAUGAGCAACAGCAUCAUAUGAUUUUUGAAGAUGGCAAAGUAAUGCAGUCUGAAUCCCCAGGCAAGUCACCACCAAACUGGGAAGAAAGCAGUACACAAGUUGUUGAAUAAGUUUAAAGUUAUUAAUGUGUUUGGCUGCUAUUCAUCAAUGACAUUGUUUGAACGGGUAUAAAUAAAAGAGGUGAAUAAACAGUUAUAAUAAGCUAUUAGUGAAACUAUCCAUGUAGAAGCCAGCAUGUACCCAAUUUAUAAUUACUGAAGGCAGUCUAUUUUCUGGCAGAAAUUAAGGAUACUGCGUAACAGAAUGCUGUGUACUCCUCUACACAGCAUAGUUCAAAUACUUAAGGGAUGAUUUCUAAUACAUUUCUGUAGAAAUCACCAACAUUGCCACAAAAUUACUGCUAGAUUUCCUGCAGGCCCUCCAACUAUUUUCCAAUCUAGAACAGUCAUGAAAAGCCCUGCUUUUCUAACAGUGACCUACUGGUUGUCUUCUUGGUGUGAAGUCCUGG
ensembl:lncRNA